AAGAGAGGAAAAGAUCAAUGAGCAAUACAAGCCGUAAGAGGAAUAGUGAGUUGCUGUGAGUCUUCCGGGCUGCCUGGCCAUGUUCCAGCAGCAUUCUCUCCUGAUGUCUCACCCACAUCUGUGGCCGGCGUGUUCAGAGGUGGUGAGGUAUAUUGGAAACCGGGCAAGUGAGGUUUCUGUAUCUGUGGAAUAAUGUCCAGGGUGGGAAAGAGAGAGAGAAAGAACCCCUGUCUACUUGAGGCCAGUGUGAAGGUUGCAAUUGGCCACCUUGAUUAGCACUGAUUAGCUUCAAGGCUGAUUCCUGCCUGGGGGAAUCCUUCGUUGGCACUGAUUGUUUCCUGCCUGGAAUUCCUCUGUUUUCUGAGUGUUUUUCUUUAUUUACUGUCCUGAUUUUUGAGUUUUUUUUUUCAAAUACUGGUGUGGAGAUUGUGUUCCUGUUCAUGGUUUCCUCCUUUCUGUUGACAUUGUCCACCUGCUUCCUAUGGGUUUCAGUGGCCCCUCUGUGUCGCCUGACAUGAUGUCUAGCAUUCCUGUCUUCUCCAAUAAUAUUCGGGUUCCAGGUUGGUUCAUCUGGAGCUCUGCUCUGGCUGGCUUCUCUGGCUGAGUGAGUCUGCAGAGCCUUUCCUGCUCCUUGGUCCCUGCCUGGGCGGUGCUGCUGCUGCUCCCUCUGGGGGUCCCCCCGGAGACUCCGUGCCCACGGCUGCAGGGGAGAGGAGAGGCGGGUCCCUCUUGCCCUUCCCUGAAAGGAGCCUCCUUCCCAGCAGACCUCACUACCUCCGAACACGCCUGCCUGCCUGCCUGCCUGCUUGCCUGCCACAGAUGUGGGCGGAACGUCAGGAGAGAGUGCUGCUGGGACACGGCCACAAACUCACCGCAACCUAGCGGUUCCGGCCGUGAAAGCCUUCCUUCGACAAGACGUAGGAAGAAGAGUCGGGAGAAGACGCCCCCUCCCCGCCCGAGGGUCCCUCGCGCCCCCCUCCCUCCCUCCCUCCCUCCCUCUUUCCCUGGCCGGGGGGGGGGGGUCCCUUCUGGUGCGCCCCCUUCUGGCCACAAAGGAGAAGGCAGGGCGGGGGAGGGGCCAGGGGCGGCGCCGCCAAUCAGGAGCCGGGAGGCCAGCCGGACCCCGCCCCCUCCCCGCUGUUGCCAGGCAGACUCCUCCCUCCCUUCUUUGGGGUCCGGGGGUGUCUCCGCAGCGGAGGACAGGAGGGAGGGGAGGGGGCGAGCGCCAGGCUCAUUGGGUGGAUGCUGGUCACUCUGGGACCGACACGCAGCUGGAACUGGGCGAGGGAGAGAUCCACCUGAAGACUGUGAGAGGGCCACCCGGAGGCACCUAGCUGGCUUCCAGGCAGUCCCCAGGUGGGAGCAACUACUCAGCCUGAUCAAAAGAAGAUCUGUGCACGAUGGGUCCUGUGAGACGCCGGUUGCAGAAACAGAGUGUCGACUUCUUCCGGGAUGGCUUCAGAAAACUUGUUCAUCGUUGGCAGAAAUGGUGAUUAUGUGGAAAAGUGAAUAGUGGUCGUUAAAGAGCACAUUCUAAAGAUUAUUUCUGCGUUUGAUUUAUUAAAAUAUUCUCAUCCAAACCCAAGUAAUAAAGGUGGAGUCAUUACUUUUCAUUCAACCUUUGUACCAUAAGUGAUUACUCGUGGCCCAUGACUCUGAUGGUCUUCCAAGGUGUGUCCACAAAUGACUGGAGAGAGACUUGUUCUGGAUCUGCAUGGUCUUUCUUUCACAGGAGGACAUACAUUUCCAGUUGGAAGGCGG
rnacentral:lncRNA from 11 species